rnacentral:rRNA from 1 species
GAUGAACGCUGGCGGCGUGCCUAAUACAUGCAAGUCGAGCGAACGGACGAGAAGCUUGCUUCUCUGAUGUUAGCGGCGGACGGGUGAGUAACACGUGGAUAACCUACCUAUAAGACUGGGAUAACUUCGGGAAACCGUAGCUAAUACCGGAUAAUAUUUUGAACCGCAUGGUUCAAAAGUGAAAGACGGUCUUGCUGUCACUUAUAGAUGGAUCCGCGCUGCAUUAGCUAGUUGGUAAGGUAACGGCUUACCAAGGCAACGAUGCAUAGCCGACCUGAGAGGGUGAUCGGCCACACGGGAACUGAGACACGGACCAGACUCCUACGAGAGGCAGCAGUAGGGAAUCUUCCGCAAUGGGCGAAAGCCUGACGGAGCAACGCCGCGUGAGUGAUGAAGGUCUUCGGAUCGUAAAACUCUGUUAUUAGGGAAGAACAUAUGUGUAAGUAACUGUGCACAUCUUGACGGUACCUAAUCAGAAAGCCACGGCUAACUACGUG